UUCUAUUUGCUGCGGGCAAAUAAAAUGAAUAUGUGCAUCAAUACCCCCGGCCGUUAGAAUUUGUCCUUCGCCAGCGAUUACUUCUGUGCCCGGCCCGACUUCAAUGGUGACCCCAGGCUGAAUAUCCGGGUUACCCGCUUUUCCGAUGGUUGCGAUGCGGCCGUUUUUAAUAGCAACGUCGGCUUUUACGAUACCCCAGUGGUCGAGUAUCAGCGCAUUUGUGAUCACUGUGUCCGGGGUAUCCGCACAGGACGCCUGACUUUGGCCCAUGCCGUCACGAA
rnacentral:sRNA from 1 species